AGUGAACGCUGGCGGCGGGCCUAAUACAUGCAAGUCGAGCGACCACAUAAUGAGCGUUCGCCUCUAAGGGUGGCGAGUGACGGGUGGGUGACACAUAGAUAACAUACCUAUAUUACGUGGGGGACUUCGUGGGGCCAGAUCUGAUACCAGAGAAUAUGUUCAACGGGUGAAAUCAAUAGAUAAAUGGUGUUUGGGUGUCAGUUAGAGCUGGUGCCGGGUCGCAUUAGCUAGUUGGUAAGGGAACGGCCUACCAAGGCAACGAUGCGUAGCCGAUCUGAGAGGGUGAUCGGCCACACUGGAACUGAGACACGGUCCAGACUCCUACGGGAGGCAGCAGUAGGGAAUAUUCCGCAAUGGGCGAAAGCUUGACGGAGCCAAGCCGCGUGAGUGAUGAAGGUCUUCGGAUAGUAAAGCUCUGUUAUUAGGGAAGAACAACUGUGGAAGUAACUAUGGACGUCUUGACGGUACCCAAUGAGAAAGCAACGGCUAACUACGUG
rnacentral:rRNA from 1 species